rnacentral:rRNA from 1 species
UGCAGUCGAACGGCAGCACGGGUGCUUGCGCCUGGUGGCGAGUGGCGAACGGGUGAGUAAUACAUCGGAACCUGUCCUGGAGGGAGGGAUAGCCCGGCGAAAGCCGGAUUAAUACCGCAUACGAUCUACGGAUGAAAGCGAGGGACCUUCCGGCCUCGCGCUAUAGGGUUGAUCGAUGGCUGAUUAGCUAGUUGGAGGGGUAAAGGCCUACCAAGGCGACGAUCAGUAGCUGGUCUGAGAGGACGACCAGCCACACUGGGACUGAGACACGGCCCAGACUCCUACGGGAGGCAGCAGUGGGGAAUUUUGGACAAUGGGCGAAAGCCUGAUCCAUGCAUGCCGCGUGUGUGAAGAAGGCCUUCGGGUUGUAAAUUACUUUUGUCCGGAAAGAAAUCCUUGGCUCUAAUACAGUCGGGGGAUGACGGUACCGGAAGAAUAAGCACCGGCUAACUACGUGCCAGCAGCCGCGGUAAUACGUAGGGUGCGAGCGUUAAUCGGAAUUACUGGGCGUAAAGCGUGCGCAGGCGGUUUGCUAAGACCGAUGUGAAAUCCCCGGGCUCAACCUGGGAACUGCAUUGGUGACUGGCAGGCUACAGUAUG